ACCAAGUUAGUAAAGUUAAUGCGGUUGACUUAGAAUCAAUAGAGAUAGGCGAAAUUCCUUUAUUUGGUA
rnacentral:tRNA from 1 species